rnacentral:lncRNA from 1 species
UUUUUCUUUGUUGUAACUACAAUGUAUUAUCAUAUAUCACACUCAUGAUUCCAUUUAGCCGCAUGAAUAUUUCUCCCCCAAAUGAGAAUAGCAUCAUCAGAUUCACUUUCCAAGAGAGAGAUUCAAGAGUGAAGAUGCUGGGAGUUGCUAUUCUUUGGGAGGUGGGGAUUUGAAAGACCAGCUUUCAUGUUUUGGUUCAAAUCCUAGACCUCCACUUCCUCUUUGUGUGCCUAAAUACACUUCGGUUUCUCCAUUUUCUACAUCUGUAAAAUGAAAAUGUUGAUACCUCAGACUAUUAUUGGGAGAGUUAGAUGUGAAAAUACUAUUCAUCAUGCUAGGUACUGUAUCUUUCUUUUUUAAUAUUUUAUUAUUUGUUCAUGAGAGACACAGAGAGAGGGAGAGAGAGGCAGAGACACAGGCAGAGGGAGAAGCAGGCUCCAUGCAGGGAGCCUGACAUGGGACUCAACCACGGGUCUCCAGGAUCACACCCUGAGCUGAAGGUGGCACUAAACCGCUGAGCCAUCCAGGCUGCCCUAGGCACUGUAUCUUAAGCAUAUUUCAUACAGCCUUCAAAAUAUUGCCACAAACAACCAAUGUGAUGGAUGUUAUCAUCCAUUAUAUUGAUGAAACUGUGAAGGUUCAGAGUUAUGGGAUAGUUCUAAAUAGAGUCAUGAUUUGAACCCAGGCCUUUUAAAGUGAUUCUUUAGUCCAUGCCUUUUAUGUUAUUCCAUUUUGCAGAGGAGUCAUCUUGAUGGGAUCCAAUGAGCUGCCUUUCUCUGCUAACCCCCAAGCUGAGCUCUAUCCCUGGUAAAUGAUGGAGUGGUUAUUUAUAAUCCCAUAGUCAUGGGCCAUAGACAGUGAACUUAGAAAACACAAGAACACUCCUGAUAUGUCUCUCAUAACUGAGGACAAGAAGUUCAUUGGAAAGUAGUAGCUCUGACACAGAUCCCAUCAGAUAUGACAAAUUAUGUACUUGAGUAUAUUUUACUUACUUUAAGUGAAAUUCCCAUUUUCAAUGAAAGGAAUCAAACUAUAGGCAUUUUGUUUUGUUUUAAAUUUCUAACCAAACACACAUAAAAAAAAAUAAAACAUAUGGCAUAUGGUAGGAAGAUUCAGGUUCUAAAUUGUAUUAGAAGAUUACAGACCCACUCAAAAACACCCUGUCCCCCUUUUUCCAUUUACACAAUCAGUCUCAGAAGUUGCUACCUUCUCUGUUCCAAACCUCUCCAGAAUCCAUGCCCUUCUUCUCACACCCACAACAGCUGUUUAAUCCUCCCAAUCAAUUUUAACUAUUAUAUGACCCCUCUGCUUGCCUCUCACUGGAGCCUCCUCAGUGUGUUAGCCAUUAAAGCACACAUGAGUUUCUGAAAGACAAAUAUGAUCAUGGCACUCUGCUUGCAAGUCUUCAAGAUGCCCAGUUGCUGACAUGAUAUGAAACAAAUCUUUUAGAAUGGCAAAAGAAGAUCCCAUUUUUGUCCCCACCAUAUAUUUUCCUGCCUACCUCAUGCUUCCACUCUUACAACACUUCAGCAGCACCCAACUCUGUGUGGUUCCCAAGACACAUGAAGCAGUCUCAUAUCUUUAUGAAUGGGCACACUCUCCAAUUUGCCUAGAAUAUAUAGUUCACCUUGCUCAGUUUUGCAUACUAUUAUUCAUCUUUCAUGACUUAAGUGCUACUCAUUUAACUUUCCAAGGAGAAUUCGUCAAUAUUUUCUUUAUGUGACCAUCUCACUUGGUAAAUAUAUCUUAGAUAUAGCACUUAUAGUAUUUCAUUGUGAUUUUUCACCUACACAUUUAUUGCUCAAAGGAGAGUAGACUUAUGUGUGUCUUAUUUAUGUUUGUAUCCCUAAGAGGUAGGGGAGGGUCAAGCAGAGUAGAUGUCAUCAGUAAAUACCUUGGGUAUGAAUAAAUAUUUAAAGAUAAAAGAUUGUUUCCAGGAUACAGUUAAACUAUUUUUUGAAGGUGUAUAAUAUAUCAGGCCCUGUGCUAAACUUUGGGGAUAUAUGACUAUGAAGUGGUCAUCCAUAAUCUCAAAUUUCACUGAGUUUUUUCUUUAGAAAUUUUAUUUAUUUAUUUAUGAGAGACACACAGAGAGAGGCAGAGACAUAGGCAGAGGGAGAAGCAGGCUCCCUACAGGGAGCCCGAUAUGGGACUUGAUCCCAGGACCACGGGACAAUGCCCUGAGCUAAAGGCAGAUGCUCAUCCACUGAGCCACCCAGGCAUUCCAAAUUUCUCUGAGUUUAAAUGCUAAAAAUCUUAUAGCAAUGCAGGCCUCCAGUCACUCAUUAGAUAAUAUUUCAGGUGAAUUGACAGGAGUAAUGGAUCAGAGGCAGAUGUGUAACAGAACAAGUAUGAUACUGUGUUACAAUGUUUUCUCCUGCCCAUAAAGCAGUACAGUCACCAUAAAAACAACCUACCUAUCUGCUGCCCUUUGAGAAAUCCUAGAGUUGCUGGAAAAGUUCUAUUUCUUGACCUGAGUGGUGGUUAUAAGGAUGUUCACCCUGUGAUAAUUUACUAAGUGAUACAUCAGCUUUACUGGUUUUUUUUUCUAUAUCUGUGAUAUAUUACACUAAAAAUGCUAAAAAAAUGUAUAUGAAGAACAGUAAAAACAAACAGAAAUCCCAAAAUUGUAAGUGAUGACUUUUAAUAUUUCAGAGAGGACAAAUAGCAUGAGAAAUAAAACAACAAAAACAAAAACCCAAAAUAUAAAAUAAACAGACUUUGGUCUGAAGAUGCUUCCAACUAUUGUCAUAUCUUGGAGCACUUGAUGCCAUGUCUGAGGCCUAUCAGGCUAAAUAGACAAGAUAGUAGCCUGAAGUUCAGUUAUUCCAGGCUUCCCAGCUGCUUAAGGAUAGAGUGCUGAUAUCUUAGACCACCUGUGAGGGCUCAGCAAUUGAAAAGUUAUUUCUUCGUAAGAUCAAGGGCCAUGCAAGAAAUGAAGCCAGCGACUACAGGCUGUGGGUGACUUUCACAAUUAAUUGUAUGACUUUUCUAACUUUUUUUAUAGUGCAAAGAGACAAGAUAAGCCUCUCAUUCAGAAGUACAUGGCUCUUCCUUCUGUUGAGCACCCCAAACUUGGUCAUUUCCAUUUCAAACUGCUUCUUUCUCCCUUGAAUGGGCUCAGUCUGAUCUUCCAACACUCUUGUAUUAUUGAAACAGUUUGGCAGCAGAGACAAGUAAGGGUCUGGGAUAGUAGCUUGUAAAAGAGAAAAGAGAAAAGAGAGCACUGGAGAGAGGAAGAGUUUAAAGAAACAUCAGCAGUUGGGGUUCAGGAGUGAAAGUUUUCAGAGUAGAUGGGGCUAAGAGAAUAGAUAAAGAUUUUUUUGAAGAAAAAGAGACAGGGGAAGGAAGAAGAAAAGAGGAAAGGAAGGAACAAAAGAAAAUAUGAAGGGAGGAAGGAGAGGUAGAUGGAGAGAGGGAGGGAAGGCAGAGUGUAAAGACUAUUCCUCUGUGACUGCUGGGAUGUUGAUAUACCAGCUCUAAAGGAUAAUAUAAACUUGGGUUCAAUCUCAGAUUUUCCAUUAACUGCUUCAGUUAUCUUGGAAAAAUUAGU